GACGAACGCUGGCGGCGUGCUUAACACAUGCAAGUCGAGCGGUAAGGCCCUUUGGGGUACACGAGCGGCGAACGGGUGAGUAACACGUGAGUAAUCUGCCUUUGGCUUGGGAAUAACUUCGGGAAAUCGGGGCUAAUGCCUGAUGUUUACUGUCUGCUGCAUGGUGGGUGGUGGAAAGAUUUUUUGGCCAGGGAUGAGCUCGCGGUCUAUCAGCUUGUUGGUGGGGUAAUGGCUACCAAGGCUUUGACGGGUAGCCGGCCUGAGAGGGUGUUCGGCCACACUGGGACUGAGACACGGCCCAGACUCCUACGGGAGGCAGCAGUGGGGAAUAUUGCGCAAUGGGCGUAAGCCUGACGCAGCGACGCCGCGUGGGGAUG
rnacentral:rRNA from 1 species